ensembl:lincRNA 4833412C05Rik RIKEN cDNA 4833412C05 gene
CUCCCUGCUCCCCGGCAGUCCCCACAUGCAGCAGCAGACUAGUGGGUAGAACUGCAGGGGUAUGGAGACAUCCCGAACUUCAGCAGCAGCAGUCCCAGCACCCCGCCCCCAACCUCAGGCAUGAAGAGCAAGGUGUAUGGACACUGUGGACACAUGUCCCUUGAAGUCUGGCCUCCACCAGUACAUUGCCUGGGUUAAAUUCCACACAUGUCUGGCCCUGAAGCCAGUACUGUGUGCUUUCUUCAGCUAAAGCAAGCCCCCCCUCCAUCUCUUCUGUAGCUUCCUAGGUCCUGGGCUCAUCAAGCAAUUGAAAUCUUUCAAAAUGAUCGAUCAGGGCUGAUCCACUCGAGAUUUUACUUGUGGUUGAUGUUAUUUUUCAAGUCAACGACCAAUUACAGUAACAGCAUUGAUUAAACACCGUCUCUCUGCCCUGCAUGGAAAUGCCAUCUUUCCUGUGCUUUACCUCGGAAUGGACCGGGCUUGGUUGCACACGGCUUUGAGCCCAGCACGCUGAAGACAAACAGGUGGAACUCUGUGAGUCUAAGACCAGCCUAGUCUACAAAGAGAGUUCCAGAACAGCCAGGAGUACAUAAUGAAACCCUGUGUCAAAACACAACCAACAAACAGCGUGGGUCUUGAAUGGCUUUUAUACGUCUUGGCCUCCUGGUCUACAAACUUGCUGUGUCAAUGCCAUGUAGCCUUUCACGCUAUUCCAUCAGCUUGGUCCAGAGUUUUAGCAUCUGGCACAACUGUUCUACAUCAGUGUUUUUCAGAGAUAAAAUGCUGCUCGUGAAAUGGAAAUAUUUAGAAUUGCUUCUACAUAAAUGUUAAAUGCUUUUAUAGAACCCAAGGAAAACCCUGUUGACGUUCUGAUUAAAAUUAAGGUUCAUCCCUUUG